GGGAGAUUAAGUACAGGUGGGAGAGACAUCAGUGCCCGGUAAAGAUGUGUUCCCCAUUAUCAUCGUAUGUGUUUUAGACUGCACAAAAAAGAGUCAAAAUUUGGAAUGGACAAGAACAUUGAUCACAAAACACAUGCCAAAUUCUGAAAAUCAACCAAUCUGGAUAGAGAUAGGCCUUUCUCUUCUUAAAACAUUCAAUGACCAGAUCAAUCAACUCCACUGCACAACCAAUCACAAUCGAUUGAGGCUGGUUAUUCCCAACUGAAUCUGUCAGUCCCAGACGAUUUCGAUUGAUUCAAGCUGACAUCAAUAGGUUUCAAGUUAUAGUCCUCACUUUAUGGAAAUCACCACUUUCUCCUUUUAUUUCAGUCAUAUUCUUCUUCUACUUCUCAAACUACUUUUUGCCAAAAAUUGACAAUCUGACAGUGGAUUCAACAGAUUAAAUGAUUGGAUCCAGAUGAACCACCGAUUAAAUAUGACCAAAUUAUUGGAUCUAGUAAGGUAUGGCACAGGACAAGGCCACUCACAGUAGAACAAAUUCAACAACCAAUACCCUCCAAUUCUCAAUGAAAAUUAGCUACAAGUGAUGCCAAGUUAAAUUCUUACUAUAAUAAAAUAAAAGAAAACUCAAAUUCUUGAAGAUCUUAAACUAUUGAGAUCUUUUUGGCUGUCUUCAGAUAGAGAUAUCUUCAGUGAUGCCAGUCCAAAGUAUUAUCACAAAUAGGGAUGGCAAGGUGCAAGGGCAGAGCACGUUUUACUUAAAAUGUCCCUUUUUCACCACUCAAAAAUCCCACUUGUCCCCUCUCAGUGCUAUGAUUAUAUUUAAAACGUUCCUGUUUCACCACUCAAAAGUCCCACUUGUCCCCUUUCAGUGCUAUGAUUACAUUUGAUAUACGUUUGAUAUAUAUUUGAUUGUAUUUGUCAAUUGAGGAAUCAUUUAUAUGGAAAUGUGAAAGGCAUUUUUUUAUGGGACAAGCAGGGUUCAUUCAAGACAAGGAUAAGUAAUAUCAUCCCAACCCCCACUCGAUCAAGGUUUUAAACUUUAUGACUCAAACCCGCAUGGUGAACUUAUAUAAUUGACAGAAUCAGCCUCAAAUUCUUGAAGAUCUUAAACUAUUGAGAUCUUUUUGGUUGUCUUCAGAUAGAGAUAUCUUCAGUGAUGCCAGUCCAAAGUAUUAUCACAAAUAGGGAUGGCAAGGUGCAAGGGCAGAGCACGUUUUACUUAAAGCGUCCCUUUUUCACCACUCAAAAAUCCCACUUGUCCCCUCUCAGUGCUAUGAUUAUAUUUAAAACGUUCCUGUUUCACCACUCAAAAGUCCCACUUGUCCCCCUUCAGUGCUAUGAUUACAUUUGAUAUAUGUUUGAUAUAUAUUUGAUUGUAUUUGUCAAUUGAGGAAUCAUUUAUCUGGAAAUGUGAAAGGCAUUUUUUUAUGGGACAAGCAGGGUUCAUUCAAGACAAGGAUAAGUAAUAUCAUCCCAACCCCCACUCGAUCAAGGUUUUAAACUUUAUGACUCAAACCCGCAUGGUGAACUUAUAUAAUUGACAGAAUCAGCCUCUAUAUAAUAUUGACAUGGGAUGCAUGGUGAACUUAUUUUCUCCAAUCAAACAUUGUCCUUUAAUGCAUAAAGUCGACCACCUUACCAUCAUAGAGUUUAGCUAUAUUUUCUUAUGUCCUGCAAAACCUUUGUGGUAUCAGUCCGCAAAGAAUUAGCAAAAAAGAAACCUUGUGCGGUCCACAAAGGACCUACAUAAGAGAGAUUGGUAACGUCAAAUGCGGCAGACAAUUCACGUCUCGUACAACUGAGAUUAAAACAAUUCUAGUGUCUCGUACAAACAUGAUUAAAACAAUUCGACAAACACUUGAGGGACACCUUGAAGGACUUCAAACACUUCAAAAGACAGCCACAGGUCCACAAUAGCCACUUAACUGGGUGACCCAAACUUAACUCUCCAAAGCCCCACCCGAACCUAUGCCACCUAAGAAGGUUUAAAUGGGUUGAGAUGACUGACGUUUUGCACAGUGAAGUCAAAGCUCAAAAAUCAGUUCGUGAGGCCAAUUAUCAAAAAUGAUAUAGUAAUUGCAUUAUGGUGUCAUUCUUUUACAAACUGAUAUGCCAACAGACUACUUCUUGUGUCCGCAAAGUUUAAAAAGGUUACUUUUAGGUUGAUCCUUAAAAAGACAGUCGCAUGGAUUAUGCAUAACUUAGGCAAAUUUAGCUAAGUUAGUGACAAAAUGACGUAGGUGUUGUGGGUGCACAAUGCGCAGCUGACUGUGACAUUACUGUGUCUAAGAAGGUAUUCUUCAACUUUUCUUCUAUACUUACCUCCAUCAAAGAACAACAAAUAACCUUUAAAGGCUCGUGAAGUUCAAGAAAAAAACAUGUUUGCCAUUAACUUCAUAACAUGGCAUAAUGACAAAGUCUUUUUUAACUCUAGAAGUACAUGCCCAACAUCCCAUUUUAAGAUUCAUAAGAACCCUAGCAAUCAUAUGUUCAAGUCUCUGAAAAGAAGGCAAGUCAGAAAAGAUAAAUUGUUUGAAAAUUUAGACUAUUGAAACAAAAUUUUGAUUUGGCUGCAAGGCCCUAUGACCUUAUCUUUAUUGACUUAAACAUGUUUUAUGUUUCUUAUUUUUUUCCUUAAAAAUUAUGUUAAAACAUCUAUUUGCUCCUUCAAGAAUAUUUCAAGCUGCUAUAUCAAGUUACUCCUGAAGCCACCAUAAGACUGGUGUAGCCACAGGCCAAUUAGAUCAAUCUAUGAAACACCGCUAUCCUCUUAUACUCUCCCCUAACUUAGCCACCUUCACAAAACAUGUUAUGAUUCUGAGCCAUUUUGCAUUAUGUCAUCAUUAUGCAUGAAAUAUGCAAAACACUCACAGAAAUUCCAUAAAGAACUUAACAUGUUCACAUUAAAAAAAAAAAGAG
rnacentral:lncRNA from 1 species